rnacentral:rRNA from 1 species
AACGAACGCUGGCGGCAGGCUUAACACAUGCAAGUCGAACGCCCUCUUCGGAGGGAGUGGCAGACGGGUGAGUAACGCGUGGGAACCUACCCAGUAGUACGGAAUAACUCAGGGAAACUUGUGCUAAUACCGUAUACGCCCUACGGGGGAAAGAUUUAUCGCCAUUGGAUAAGCCCGCGUCGGAUUAGCUUGUUGGUGAGGUAAAAGCUCACCAAGGCGACGAUCCGUAGCUGGUCUGAGAGGAUGAUCAGCCACACUGGGACUGAGACACGGCCCAGACUCCUACGGGAGGCAGCAGUGAGGAAUAUUGGACAAUGGGCGCAAGCCUGAUCCAGCCAUGCCGCGUGAGUGAAGAAGGCUUUAGAGUUGUAAAGCUCUUUCAGCGGGGAAGAUGAUGACGGUACCCGCAGAAGAAGCCCCGGCUAACUCCGUG